rnacentral:tRNA from 1 species
UCUUAGAUGACUGAGUGUAAGUGUUAGAUUUUUAAUCUAAAGACGGCAAAUUGAUUUAAUGCCUCUAAGAG